UACGAGUGCCCUAAGCGUUAUCCGGAAUCAUUGGGCGUAAAGGGUGUGUAGGUGGUUGUGUUAGUCUUCUGUUAAAUUCUUCGGCUUAACCGGGGGCAUGCAGGGGAAACGGCACGACUAGAGGAUGCGAGAGGCACAUGGAACUCAUGGAGUAGGGGUGAAAUCCGUUGAUAUCAUGGGGAACACCGAAAGCGAAGGCAAUGUGCUGGCGCACUCCUGACACUGAAACACGAAAGCGUAGGUAGCGAAUGGG
rnacentral:rRNA from 1 species